UCCUCAUGGUUUUGUCUUUCUAUUUACUGAAAUGAUAUCAAAGUGACCCAUUUCCUACUCGAUUUGGCAGGAAAGGCCUUUGUUUCUGAUUGCACCAGAUGCCUGCCAAGUCUGCCACGGCUGUUUGUCUGUUGCCGCGUGCUCCUUGUGUUGCUGGAGAGGACUCUGCCAUCCUUGCUGCCGCUGCCGGCGUGCUUCUAUUUGGCAGUGGAUGAAAAGGGCUUCCUCGAGCAUGAGGUGUCCCAGCAAACUGGAAGAUGGUCUGAUGGAAAGGGACGAGUUAAACUGACUUGUGGAGAGAAACAGCAAUAAGAACUAAGCUACAGCUGUAACCUCCUUCUCUGACUCAAUGUGCUUGGGAAAUGUUGGACACCGUAGCAGAGAUGCUAGUGUGCAAGGAAAGCAGUG